rnacentral:ribozyme from 1 species
CCCGCGCACUUCGCGUCCCCCUGCCUUCGCCCACA